rnacentral:rRNA from 1 species
CAGUCGCCACGGUAAAACGUAGGUGGCAAGCGUUGUCCGGAAUUAUUGGGCGUAAAGGGCUCGCAGGCGGUUUCUUAAGUCUGAUGUGAAAGCCCCCGGCUUAACCGGGGAGGGUCAUUGGAAACUGGGAAACUUGAGUGCAGAAGAGGAGAGUGGAAUUCCACGUGUAGCGGUGAAAUGCGUAGAGAUGUGGAGGAACACCAGUGGCGAAGGCGACUCUCUGGUCUGUAACUGACGCUGAGGAGCGAAAGCGUAGGGAGCGAACAGGAUUAGAUACCCCUGUAGUCCCUGUCUCUUAUAC